CAGUCGCCACGGGAAUACGUAGGGUGCGAGCGUUAGUCGGAAUUACUGGGCGUAAAGCGUGCGCAGGCGGUUCGUUAAGACAGAUGUGAAAUCCCCGGGCUUAACCUGGGAACUGCAUCUGUGACUGGCGAGUUAGAGUAUGGCAGAGGGGGGUAGAAUUCCACGUGUAGCAGUGAAAUGCGUAGAGAUGUGGAGGAAUACCGAUGGCGAAGGCAGCCCCCUGGGCCAAUACUGACGCUCAUGCACGAAAGCGUGGGGAGCAAACAGGAUUAGAUACCCCUGUAGUCCCUGUCUCUUAUAC
rnacentral:rRNA from 1 species